rnacentral:rRNA from 1 species
AAAAAGUUUUUUUUUUUUGCUCAGGAUGAACGCUGGCGGCGUGCCUAAUACAUGCAAGUCGAGCGAACAGACGAGAGUGCUUGCACUCUCUGAUGUUAGCGGCGGACGGGUGAGUAACACGUGGGUAACCUACCUAUAAGACUGGGAUAACUUCGGGAAACCGGAGCUAAUACCGGAUAAUAUCUAGCUUCGCAUGAAGCGAUAGUGAAAGACGGUUCUGCUGUCACUUAUAGAUGGACCCGCGGUGUAUUAGCUAGUUGGUGAGGUAACGGCUCACCAAGGCAACGAUACAUAGCCGACCUGAGAGGGUGAUCGGCCACACUGGGACUGAGACACGGCCCAGACUCCUACGGGAGGCAGCAGUAGGGAAUCUUCCGCAAUGGACGAAAGUCUGACGGAGCAACGCCGCGUGAGUGAAGAAGGUUUUCGGAUCGUAAAACUCUGUUGUAAGGGAAGAACAAGUACGUUAGUAACUGAACGUACCUUGACGGUACCUUACCAGAAAGCCACGGCUAACUACGUGCCAGCAGCCGCGGUAAUACGUAGGUGGCAAGCGUUAUCCGGAAUUAUUGGGCGUAAAGCGCGCGUAGGCGGUCUCUUAAGUCUGAUGUGAAAGCCCCCGGCUCAACCGGGGAGGGUCAUUGGAAACUGGGAGACUUGAGUGCAGAAGAGGAGAGUGGAAUUCCAUGUGUAGCGGUGAAAUGCGCAGAGAUAUGGAGGAACACCAGUGGCGAAGGCGGCUCUCUGGUCUGUAACUGACGCUGAGGUGCGAAAGCGUGGGGAUCAAACAGGAUUAGAUACCCUGGUAGUCCACGCCGUAAACGAUGAGUGCUAAGUGUUGGGGGGUUUCCGCCCCUCAGUGCUGCAGCUAACGCAUUAAGCACUCCCCCGGGAGGGU